rnacentral:rRNA from 1 species
AACCCGCCUGCAUGAAGUCGGAAUUGCUAGUAAUCGCGGAUCAGCAUGCCGCGGUGAAUACGUUCCCGGGCCUUGUACACACCGCCCGUCACACCGUGGGAGCCGGUAAUACCCGAAGUCAGUAGUCCAACCUCGUGAGGACGCUGCCGAAGGUAGGAUUGGCGACUGGGGUGAAGUCGUAACAAGGUAUC